rnacentral:rRNA from 1 species
CAGCUCUCCGAGUGGUAGGGAUGAUUAUUGGGCUUAAAGCGUCCGUAGCCGGCUUAGCAAGUCUCCUGUUAAAUUCAGCGACCUAAUCGUUGACCCGCGGGAGAUACUACUAGGCUAGGAGGCGGGAGAGGUCGACGGUACUUCUGGGGUAGGGGUGAAAUCCUAUAAUCCCGGGAGGACCACCAGUGGCGAAGGCUGUCGACUAGAACGCGCUCGACGGUGAGGGACGAAAGCUGGGGGAGCGAACCGGAUUAGAUACCCGAGUAGUCC